GUCGCCCAUUUUCGAUGCCUGUUGCAUAUAGGCAUAGAUAUUAGAGAGUCUGCAGCUGCAGGAUGAAACUGAAAGCAGUUUCAUUGAGCCAGUGGCCCUUUUUGUUUUCUUCAGCCUGAAAUCCAGGGGAAGAGUGAGUGUCCUCUGCCUUUUGGCGGCCAUUGUACAUGUGCUGGGAACAAGCUCAGGACUCCAAACCUCUUCUUCUACAUGUAACCAACCGCCAGUGUUUGGAAAGUUACAUAUUUGCUAGGGAAUAAACUAGAGUUUUUGUUAUCAUUUUUUUAUCAAGGCCUACUUGGCCCAACA
rnacentral:misc_RNA from 1 species